UACGUAGGGUGCAAGCGUUACUCGGAAUUACUGGGCGUAAAGCGUGCGCAGGCGGUUUUGUGAGUCUGUCGUGAAAUCCCCGGGCUCAACCUGGGAAUUGCGAUGGAGACUGCAAGGCUAGAAUCUGGCAGAGGGGGGUAGAAUUCCACGUGUAGCAGUGAAAUGCGUAGAGAUGUGGAGGAACACCGAUGGCGAAGGCAGCCCCCUGGGUCAAGAUUGACGCUCAUGCACGAAAGCGUGGGGAGCAAACAGG
rnacentral:rRNA from 1 species